UCUUUAAUUUGUAAAUGUAAAACGCCGAAGUCAAACAGAAGGAAAAUUUUUGUGUUUGUGUCUGGCGUUUGCAUUUGUAGAAAGAAACUUAAGAAUGUUUUAUAUUUAAGUUAACUACUAACAUGUUUGUAUUAACAAAUACAAAAGGGUGUUAUUGAGAUGCACAACUACUUGACGAGUGUGUACGACGUUGGAGAUGCUCGAAGUACUCUUCUCACCAUGAUCCAAACGUUACACCACGCCAAAAAUGGCGUUGACAUGUUUUCUGGAACUAAGGCAAUUAUCUUUAUCGAUUACUUUCUAUUAGCCAAACUAUCGAUUACUUUUAUCCUUAUAUAUAUACAUACAUAAGACAAUACUUUGGUUUCUUGUCUGUGACUUUGAUUAUUGUAGGUACGAACACACUUUGGGAGACCGAAGUGGAAGAAGGUUUUAUCAAAGAUUAGCACCAAACAUAAGAAUGCAAGAAUCGGAGUGUUCUAUUGUGGAGGACCGAGUUUAGGGAAGGAACUCUCCACAUUGUGCCAUGAAUUUAAUCAAACGGGCUGUUCCAGGUUCGAGUUCCGCAAAGAACAGUUUUAAGGGUAAAAAUGAUAUGGCUCCUCUACAAUGUGGCUUUUGAAUCAAUCGAAUCAAGUAUAUUGGUAUACAUGUAAAAUUAAUGUUCAUGAUUUUCUUCGCUUCAUUCA